rnacentral:rRNA from 1 species
UGGGGAAUAUUGCGCAAUGGGCGAAAGCCUGACGCAGCAACGCCGCGUGGGUGAAGAAGGCCUUUGGGUCGUAAAGCCCUGUCAGAUGGGAAGAAACCUGCGCAAGCAGCUGACGGUACCAUCAAAGGAAGCACCGGCUAACUCCGUGCCAGCAGCCGCGGUAAUACGGAGGGUGCAAGCGUUGUUCGGAAUCACUGGGCGUAAAGGGCGCGUAGGCGGUCUGCCAAGUCUGAUGUGAAAGCCCGGGGCUUAACCCCGGAAGUGCAUUGGAAACUGGUAGACUUGAGUUCGGGAGAGGAGAGCAGAAUUCCCGGUGUAGGGGUGAAAUCCGUAGAUAUCGGGAGGAAAACCAGUGGCGAAGGCGGCUCUCUGGAACGAAACUGACGUUGAGGCGCGAAAG